UGUAGAGUUUGAUCAUGGCUCAGAUUGAACGCUGGCGGAAUGCUUUACACAUGCAAGUCGAACGGCAGCACGGGGGCAACCCUGGUGGCGAGUGGCGAACGGGUGAGUAAUUCAUCGGAACGUGCCCAGUCGUGGGGGAUAACUACGCGAAAGCGUAGCUAAUACCGCAUACGAUCCACGGAUGAAAGCGGGGGACCGCAAGGCCUCGCGCGAUUGGAGCGGCCGAUGGCAGAUUAGGUAGUUGGUGGGGUAAAGGCCUACCAAGCCGACGAUCUGUAGCUGGUCUGAGAGGACGACCAGCCACACUGGGACUGAGACACGGCCCAGACUCCUACGGGAGGCAGCAGUGGGGAAUUUUGGACAAUGGGCGCAAGCCUGAUCCAGCCAUUCCGCGUGCAGAUGAAGGCCCUCGGGUU
rnacentral:rRNA from 1 species